rnacentral:rRNA from 1 species
UAUAACCAAUAUUUACCGACACACACAACUUCACUAUGGUUUAGUACAUAAUAUGUAUAACUCAACAUCAUGGUUUAAGUACAUAUUAUGUAUAAUAUUACAUCAUGGUUUAAAUAAUUACAUGGUAUAUCCCCAUAACACCUAUAUUAAACAUUUUUGUUUAAAACAUUAAAAUAAGCCGUACAUAAACCAUAAUAAUUUAAACUCAUAAAUAAUUUAUCUUAAAAUGAGCGAUUGCAUAAUUCCUAAUACCCCCAUAAAACCAUUUUCUAUGCGUUACCCAACUAAUAUUGCUAACCAAUAUCCUAUGUAGUAAGAGACCACCAUCCCUGAAUACCUUAAGAUACACGGUCCUUGAACGAUCAGGGACAAAAUUUGUGGGGGUUACACAACUUGCACUAUUACUGGCAUCUGGUUCCUAUUUCAGGUCCAUACAUCUAUAAUCCCUCAUAAUAUGAAAUUUCCUGACAUCGGUUAUUGGUGUAACUUCGCUGUAGCAAAGCCCCCCCAAGCCAAGGCAUUCUUUUAUAGGCAUGGGGUUCUUUUUUUUUAGGAUCACUUUCAUCUGGCAUACUUCAUGCAGGCAAUCAACAAACAUUCAAGGUUGCACUAAUUUUUAUUUAAACCAACCAAAAAUGUAAUGCUUUAAUGACAUACUUGAAAUAAUUACAUAACUCUCUAUCAAGUACAUAACUGAUAUUGCCGCUUCCACAUACCUCCCUAAGAUCCCCCUGGGCUUCGCGCGCGGUAAACCCCCCUACCCCCCAUGCCGUACAAGUCCUAAUUAAUCCUGUUAAACCCCUAAACCAGGUAAGGCCCGAUUGGCGUAUUCAACAAGCUAUGAUAUGUGUUGAUAUAUAGUGUUAUAAAUUCGCAUUAUAUUGUAUAGCUAUUGUAGCUUAAACCAAAGCAUAACACUGAAGAUGUUAAGAUGGACCCUAGAAAUGUUCCAAAAGCACAAAGGCUUGGUCCUGGCUUUACUAUCAGCUUUAGCCCAAUUUAUACAUGCAAGUAUCCGCACCCCUGUGAGAAUGCCCUCAAUCCCCUGCCCGGGGACGAGGGGCAGGCAUCAGGCACACUUUCUAGUUCCGCCCAAGACGCCUUGCUACGCCACACCCCCAAGGGAACUCAGCAGUAAUAGACAUUAAGCAAUAAGUGUAAACUUGACUUAGUUAGGGCUAUUAGGGCCGGUAAAAUUCGUGCCAGCCACCGCGGUUAUACGAAAGACCCUAGUUGCUAGCCACGGCGUAAAGGGUGGUUAAGGACAACAAGGAAUAAAGCUAAAGACCCCCUGGGCCGUCAUACGCAUUUCGGGGGCACGAAGCCCUAACACGAAAGUAGCUUUAAAACACACCUGACCCCACGAAAGCUAAGAAACAAACUGGGAUUAGAUACCCCACUAUGCUUAGCCCUAAACCCAGAUGUACUCUUACACACACAUCCGCCCGGGUACUACGAGCACAGCUUAAAACCCAAAGGACUUGGCGGUGUCUCAGACCCACCUAGAGGAGCCUGUUCUAUAACCGAUACCCCCCGUUAAACCUCACCACUUCUUGUUUAUCCCGCCUAUAUACCGCCGUCGUCAGCUUACCCUGUGAAGGCCUAACAGUAAGCAAAAUGGGCCCACCCAAAAACGUCAGGUCGAGGUGUAGCGUACGAAGUGGGAAGAAAUGGGCUACAUUUUCUAUAUCUAGAAUAUUAAACGAAUGGCACCAUGAAAAUAAUGCCUGAAGGUGGAUUUAGUAGUAAAAAGCAAAUAGAGCGUCCUUUUGAAUUAGGCUCUGAGACGCGCACACACCGCCCGUCACUCGUCCCCUCUGUAAGUUCACCCAACAUUCCUAAUACAUUAUACAUCAACACGGGGAGGCAAGUCGUAACAUGGUAAGUGUACCGGAAGGUGCACUUGGAACAAUCAGGACGUGGCUGAGAUAGCCAAGCAUCUCCCUUACACCGAGAAGACAUCCAUGCAAAUUGGAUCGCCCUGAGCUAAACAGCUAGCUUAACCACCUAAAUACCUAAAACAACAUUACAACAUUUAAAAGACCUACAACACCCAAAACUAAAACAUUCUCCCGCCUUAGUAUGUGUGACAGAAAGGGCACCACAAAGCAAUAAUAAAAGUACCGCAAGGGAACGCUGAAAGAGAAAUGAAACAAAUAAUUAAAGCACAAUAAAGCAGAGAUUAAAUCUCGUACCUUUUGCAUCAUGAUUUAGCCAGCCCCCAGAGCAAAGCGCACUUUAGUUCAAGACCCCGAAACUAAGUGAGCUACCCCGAGACAGCCUAUUAAUUAGGGCCAACCCGUCUCUGUAGCAAAAGAGUGGGAAGAUCUCCGGGUAGAGGUGAUAAACCUACCGAACUUAGUUAUAGCUGGUUGCCUAAGAAAUGAAUAGAAGUUCAGCCUCGUACUCCUCAUCUCACAAAUAUUUUUAUACUAAUGAGCCCGAGAAACCUACGAGAGUUAGUCAAAGGGGGUACAGCCCCUUUGAAACAGGACACAACCUCACCAGGAGGUUAAAGAUUAUACUAAAUAAGAUACGCCGCUCCAGUGGGCCUAAAAGCAGCCAUCUGAACAGAAAGCGUUAAAGCUCCGGCAGACUACAAUCUAUUAUUUAAAUAUUUUAUCUUAAACCCCUAAUUAUACUAGGCCAAUCCAUGCCUGCAUGGAAGAGAUACUGCUAAAAUGAGUAAUAAGAAGGAACCCCCUUCUCCUAGCCUAUGUGUACGCUAAAUUGGACCUGCCACUAGCAAUUAACGAACCCAAUUAAAGAGGGCAUUAUGGUUAUAUUAAAUAUCAAGAAAUCUCCACACAUAUGCAUCGUUAACCCCACACCGGAAGGCAAAAUAGGAAAGACUAAAAGAAAAGGAAGGAACUCGGCAAACAUAAGCCUCGCCUGUUUACCAAAAACAUCGCCUCCUGCAAAAAUCAACGUAUAGGAGGUCUUGCCUGCCCAGUGACAUGUUAAACGGCCGCGGUAUUUUGACCGUGCGAAGGUAGCGCAAUCACUUGUCUCUUAAAUGGAGACCUGUAUGAAUGGUGGAACGAGGGCUUAACUGUCUCCCCUUUCAAGUCAAUGAAAUUGAUCUGCCCGUGCAGAAGCGGGCAUACAAGUACAAGACGAGAAGACCCUUUGGAGCUUAAGAUACAAGAUCACCUAUGUCAAGGACCUAGUCAAACUAAAUAGCACCUGAUCCCAAUCUUCAGUUGGGGCGACCACGGGAGAAAAUAAAGCUCCCACGCGGACUGGGGCAACCCCCCUAAAACCAAGAGAGACACCUCUAAGUCGCAGAAUUUCUGACCAAAAGAUCCGGCUUCCUGCCGACCAGCGGACCAAGUUACCCUAGGGAGAACAGCGCAAUCCCCUUUCAGAGUCCAUAUCGACAAGGGGGUUUACGACCUCGAUGUUGGAUCAGGACAUCCUAAUGGUGCAGCCGCUAUUAAGGGUUCGUUUGUUCAACGAUUAAAGUCCUACGUGAUCUGAGUUCAGACCGGAGCAAUCCAGGUCAGUUUCUAUCUGUAAUGCCACUUUCCCCAGUACGAAAGGACCGGAAAAGGGGGGCCCCUGCUAUAAGCACGCCCCACCCCAACUUAAUGACAUCAACUAAAUUAAACAAAGGGGGGCACAAUCCCACAUCAAGAUAAGAUUAUUAAGGUGGCAGAGCCCGGUAAUUGCAAAAGGCCUAAGCCCUUUCAGCCGGAGGUUCAAAUCCUCCCCUUAAUUAUGAUAGCCCUUUUAAUUACCCACAUUAUUAACCCCUUGGCCUACAUUGUGCCAGUACUACUAGCAGUAGCUUUCCUAACAUUAAUUGAACGUAAAGUCCUAGGGUAUAUACAACUACGCAAAGGCCCAAAUAUUGUAGGUCCCUACGGCCUCCUUCAACCAAUUGCAGACGGGGUUAAACUCUUUAUUAAAGAACCCAUCCGCCCCUCAACCUCCUCUCCAUUUUUAUUCCUCACCACCCCCAUGUUAGCCCUAACCCUGGCACUAAUACUAUGGGCCCCUAUACCCCUCCCCCAUCCCGUGACUGACCUAAACCUCGGUAUAUUGUUUAUUCUAGCCCUCUCUAGCCUAGCAGUUUACUCCAUUCUAGGAUCAGGGUGGGCCUCCAAUUCAAAAUAUGCUCUCAUUGGAGCCCUCCGAGCAGUCGCCCAAACUAUCUCCUAUGAAGUCAGCCUAGGCCUAAUCCUUCUAUCAAUUAUUAUCUUUACAGGAGGCUUUACUCUCCAAAUAUUUAACACAACACAAGAAGCUAUCUGACUUCUAAUCCCUGCAUGGCCUCUAGCUGCCAUAUGAUAUAUUUCCACCCUCGCAGAGACAAACCGAGCCCCUUUUGAUCUCACAGAGGGUGAAUCAGAACUAGUGUCAGGAUUUAACGUAGAAUACGCCGGAGGUCCUUUCGCACUACUUUUCCUAGCCGAAUACGCCAACAUUCUUCUAAUAAACACACUAUCAACCAUCCUAUUCCUAGGAGCAAUGCAUUUUCCACAUGCCCCUGAGCUAACUUCCAUAAACAUUAUAAUAAAAGCUGCCCUACUAUCCAUAUUAUUUUUAUGAAUCCGCGCUUCCUACCCCCGAUUCCGAUAUGAUCAACUUAUACAUUUAGUAUGAAAAAACUUCCUACCAAUAACAUUAGCCCUUAUUCUAUGACAUGCCGCCCUACCCAUCGCACUCACAGGACUGCCACCCCAACUAUAAUGGAGCCGUGCCUGAAUGCCCAAGGACCACUUUGAUAGAGUGACACAUGGAGGUUAAAAUCCUCCCAGCUCCUUAGAAAGAAGGGACUUGAACCCAUAUCAUGGAGAUCAAAACUCCAAGUGUUUCCAUUACACCACUUCCUAGUAAGAUCAGCUAAAUCAAGCUUUUGGGCCCAUACCCCAAAAAUGUAGGUUAAAAUCCUUCUCUUGCCAAUGAGCCCCUACGUCAUCACAAUUAUAUUAUCAAGCCUCGGGUUAGGCACAGCUCUUACCUUCAUAAGCUCCCACUGACUUUUAGCAUGAAUAGGCCUAGAAAUUAAUACCCUAGCGAUUCUCCCCCUAAUAGCUCAACAUCACCACCCCCGAGCAGUAGAAGCCACCACCAAAUACUUUCUAGCCCAAGCCGCUGCUGCAGCAACCAUCCUAUUUGCCAGCACCAUUAACGCCUGAACCACGGGAGAAUGAAACAUCUACUGCUUAUCUCACCCUGCCGCAACAAUCUUAAUUACCAUGGCACUAGCAUUAAAAGUGGGGCUCGCCCCCGUGCACUUCUGAAUACCCCCGGUUAUACAGGGCCUAAGCCUAACCACCGGACUAAUUAUGGCUACCUGACAAAAACUAGCCCCAUUCGCACUAAUUAUCCAAAUAGCCCCUUUCACCCCUCCGCUACUAUUAACAACCCUGGGAUUAUUGUCCGUCUUCAUCGGGGGCUGAGGGGGGUUAAACCAAACUCAAUUACGAAAAAUUUUAGCUUAUUCAUCCAUCGCCCACCUAGGCUGAAUAGUCAUUAUUACACAAUAUAAGCCCCAACUAACCGUGCUAGUACUAAUUACAUAUAUCAUUAUAACAUCAGCAACAUUCCUAACAUUUAAACUAGUAGCCGCUACAAAAAUUAACACCCUAGCAAUAAGCUGGGCCAAAGUGCCUACUAUUACAGCCAUAGCAGCUCUAACCCUACUAUCCUUAGGAGGGCUCCCCCCACUAACAGGCUUCAUACCAAAAUGAUUAAUUUUGCAAGAACUCACCAUGCAAGGACUACCACUCACCGCAACAAUAAUGGCACUCAGCGCCCUACUAAGCCUGUACUUCUACCUACGACUCUGUUACGCCAUAGCAUUAACAAUUUCCCCCAACACAAACAACUCCUCCGCCCCCUGACGCAUACAAAAUACACAAGCCACAGCCCCAUUAGCCACCCUAAUAAUUAUAACCCUACUACUUCUCCCCCUCACCCCCCUAGCCCAAACACUAACAAACUAGAGAUUUAGGAUAACACAUAGACCAAAAGCCUUCAAAGCUUUAAGUAGGAGUGAAAAUCUCCUAAUCUCUGUAUAAGACUUGCAAGACUUUAUCUCACAUCUUCUGAAUGCAACCCAGACACUUUAAUUAAGCUAAAGCCUUCCUAGAUGAGAAGGCCUCGAUCCUACAAACUCCUAGUUAACAGCUAGACGCUCAAGCCAGCGAGCAUUCAUCUACUUUCCCCGCCUCCCACCAAAAAGGCGGGGAAAGCCCCGGUAGGCGAUUAACCUACUUCUUUGGAUUUGCAAUCCAACGUGUGGUACACCACAGGGCUCCUGAUAGGGAAAGGACUUAAACCUUUGUUCAUGGAGCUACAAUCCACCGCCUAACUCUCGGCCACCCUACCUGUGACGAUCACGCGCUGAUUUUUCUCAACCAACCAUAAAGAUAUUGGCACCCUUUACCUUGUAUUUGGUGCCUGAGCCGGGAUAGUGGGCACGGCCCUUAGCCUGCUCAUCCGGGCAGAACUAGCUCAGCCCGGCGCCCUCCUAGGCGAUGACCAAAUUUAUAACGUUAUUGUUACUGCUCACGCCUUUGUAAUAAUUUUCUUUAUAGUAAUACCAAUUAUGAUCGGAGGAUUUGGAAACUGGCUUGUCCCCCUAAUGAUCGGGGCACCAGAUAUGGCUUUCCCCCGAAUGAACAACAUAAGCUUCUGACUCCUGCCUCCCUCCUUCCUACUUCUGCUCGCCUCCUCCGGAGUUGAAGCAGGAGCGGGAACAGGAUGAACUGUAUACCCGCCUCUUGCCAGCAACCUCGCACAUGCAGGGGCUUCCGUAGAUUUAACGAUCUUUUCCCUCCAUCUUGCAGGAGUUUCAUCUAUUCUUGGAGCCAUUAACUUUAUUACAACAAUUAUUAACAUAAAACCUCCCGCAAUCUCACAAUAUCAAACCCCCCUAUUUGUCUGAGCCGUCCUAAUUACAGCCGUUCUUCUACUUCUAUCCCUCCCAGUUUUAGCCGCUGGCAUUACAAUGCUUCUAACAGACCGAAACUUAAACACUACCUUCUUUGACCCCGCAGGGGGAGGUGACCCCAUCCUUUACCAACAUCUUUUCUGAUUCUUCGGGCACCCAGAAGUAUACAUUUUAAUUUUACCAGGCUUUGGUAUAAUCUCCCACAUUGUUGCCUACUACGCAGGCAAAAAAGAACCAUUCGGCUAUAUAGGAAUAGUCUGAGCUAUAAUGGCCAUCGGCCUUCUAGGGUUUAUUGUAUGAGCACAUCAUAUAUUUACUGUAGGGAUAGACGUGGACACUCGAGCAUAUUUUACAUCUGCAACAAUAAUUAUUGCAAUCCCAACGGGGGUAAAAGUAUUUAGCUGACUUGCUACCCUACAUGGCGGUUCAAUUAAAUGAGAAACCCCUCUACUCUGAGCCCUAGGUUUCAUCUUCCUCUUUACUGUUGGGGGCCUAACUGGCAUCGUCCUAGCCAAUUCGUCCUUAGACAUUGUCCUACAUGACACCUAUUAUGUAGUAGCCCACUUCCAUUAUGUAUUAUCAAUGGGCGCUGUAUUUGCUAUUAUGGGGGCCUUCGUUCACUGAUUCCCCCUCUUUACAGGGUAUACAAUACACGACACCUGAACAAAAAUUCACUUCGGAACUAUAUUUGUGGGGGUAAAUCUCACCUUCUUCCCCCAACACUUCUUAGGUCUUGCUGGCAUGCCACGACGAUACUCAGACUACCCCGAUGCCUACUCACUAUGAAACAUUAUCUCCUCAAUUGGCUCCCUGGUCUCCCUAGUAGCAGUUGUAAUAUUCCUUUAUAUUUUAUGGGAGGCCUUUACUGCCAAACGAGAAGUGCUCUCUGUUGAACUCACCUCCACAAACGUAGAGUGGCUACACGGAUGCCCCCCACCCUAUCACACAUUUGAGGAACCAGCCUUCGUGCAAGUACAAACAAACUAACGAGAAAGGAAGGAAUCGAACCCCCAUAAACUAGUUUCAAGCCAGUCACAUAGCCGCUCUGUCACUUUCUUCCAUAAGAUACUAGUAUAAUUGAACAGUACUCUGCCUUGUCAAGGCAAAAUUGUAGGUUGAAAUCCUGCGUAUCUUGAGCCUCACGGCUCAAUGGCACAUCCCUCACAACUAGGAUUCCAAGACGCGGCCUCCCCUGUAAUAGAAGAACUCCUGCACUUCCACGACCAUGCCUUAAUAAUUGUUUUCCUAAUUAGCACCCUAGUCCUAUACAUUAUUGUUGUUAUAGUCACCACCAAACUUACCAAUAAAUAUAUUCUAGAUUCCCAAGAGAUUGAAAUUAUCUGAACCAUCCUCCCAGCAGUAAUCCUUAUUUUAAUCGCCCUCCCCUCCCUUCGAAUUCUUUAUCUAAUGGAUGAAGUUAAUGAUCCUCACCUAACAGUGAAAGCCAUGGGCCAUCAAUGAUAUUGAAGCUAUGAAUAUACUGACUACGAAAACUUAGCUUUCGACUCCUAUAUAGUCCCCACACAAGACCUGGUCCCAGGACAAUUCCGACUACUUGAAACAGACCAUCGAAUAGUAAUUCCAAUAGAAUCCCCAGUGCGAGUACUAGUCUCAGCUAAAGACGUCCUACACUCCUGAGCUGUGCCCGCACUGGGCAUCAAAAUAGAUGCUGUCCCAGGACGACUAAACCAAACAUCCUUUAUUACCUCUCGCCCCGGAGUGUUUUACGGACAGUGCUCUGAAAUUUGCGGAGCCAACCACAGUUUCAUGCCCAUCGUCGUAGAGGCCGUCCCCCUAGAACACUUUGAAAACUGAUCCUCUCUUAUGCUUGAAGACGCCUCACUAGGAAGCUAAAUAGGGACUAGCAUUAGCCUUUUAAGCUAAAGAUUGGCGGCCCCCAACCGCCUCUAGUGACAUGCCGCAAUUAAAUCCCGCCCCAUGAUUUGCAAUUCUUGUAUUCUCGUGACUAAUUUUCCUGACAGUAAUCCCAAACAAAGUCUUAAACCACACCUUCACAAAUGAAAUCACAGCACUCAGUGCCGAAAAACUUAAAUCAGACACCUGAAACUGACCAUGGCACUAAACCUGUUUGACCAAUUUAUAAGCCCCACACACCUCGGCAUCCCCCUAAUUACUAUUGCACUUACUCUCCCUUGAAUUUUAAUCCCCUCCCCAACCCGCCGCUACCAAAAUAACCGAUUAAUCUCCCUACAAAGUUGAUUCAUCAAAACCUUUACACAACAACUGCUCACCCCACUAAAUCAAACAGGACAUAAAUGAGCCUUAAUUUUAGCCUCAUUAAUAAUCUUUAUUCUUACCCUAAAUGUGUUAGGAUUAUUACCAUACACCUUCACCCCCACAACACAGCUAUCCUUAAACAUAGGGUUGGCAGUGCCGCUAUGGUUAGCCACAGUAAUUAUUGGCCUCCGAAACCAGCCCACCGCAGCUCUAGGACACCUCUUACCAGAAGGAACUCCUGUCCCUUUAAUUCCAAUUCUAAUUAUUAUUGAAACUAUUAGCUUAUUUAUUCGCCCUCUCGCCCUCGGAGUCCGACUUACAGCUAACCUUACAGCCGGCCACCUGCUAAUUCAACUAAUCUCGAUAGCAACCAUUACCCUCAUGCCCAUAAUAACUACAGUGGCAGCCCUUACCGCCAUUCUUCUGGUACUAUUAACACUUCUAGAAGUUGCAGUAGCCGUUAUUCAAGCCUACGUAUUUGUCCUCCUACUAAGCCUAUAUUUACAAGAAAACGUAUAAUGGCCCACCAAGCACAUGCAUACCACAUGGUUGACCCAAGCCCAUGGCCCCUGACCGGAGCAGUAGCUGCACUCUUAAUAACAUCAGGUCUAGCAAUCUGAUUUCACUUUCACUCAACCGUUCUUAUAACACUAGGACUAAUUCUACUACUCCUUACCAUAUAUCAAUGAUGACGAGACAUCAUCCGAGAAGCCACCUUCCAAGGACACCAUACGCCCCCCGUACAGAAAGGCUUGCGAUAUGGAAUAAUCUUAUUUAUCACCUCCGAAGUAUUCUUCUUUCUAGGGUUUUUCUGAGCAUUUUAUCACUCCAGCCUCGCCCCUACUCCAGAGCUCGGAGGAUGUUGACCUCCCACGGGUAUUACUCCUUUAGACCCAUUCGAGGUCCCCCUCCUUAAUACUGCAGUAUUACUAGCAUCUGGUGUUACUGUAACAUGGUCUCACCACAGCCUAAUAGAAGGAGAACGCAAACAAGCAGUUCAAUCUCUCACCCUAACAAUCCUCCUAGGGUUCUAUUUUACCGCCCUCCAAGCCAUGGAGUACUAUGAAGCCCCUUUCACUAUUGCAGACGGAGUAUACGGCUCAACUUUCUUUGUGGCUACAGGCUUUCACGGACUACAUGUCAUCAUUGGCUCAACCUUUCUUGCCAUCUGCCUUCUUCGACAAAUCCAAUAUCAUUUUACAUCAGAACACCAUUUUGGGUUUGAAGCAGCCGCCUGAUACUGACACUUCGUAGAUGUUGUAUGGCUCUUCCUAUACGUCUCUAUUUACUGAUGAGGCUCAUAUCUUUCUAGUAUUAAAGUUAGUACGAAUGACUUCCAAUCAUCUAGUCUUGGUUAAAGCCCAAGGAAAGAUAAUGAACUUAAUCAUAAUUGUUACACUUAUUACUCUUAUCCUCUCCACAGUCCUGGCUGCAGUAUCAUUUUGGCUCCCCCAAAUAACCCCUGAUGCAGAGAAGCUCUCCCCCUACGAAUGCGGAUUUGACCCACUAGGCUCUGCACGCCUACCCUUCUCCUUGCGCUUCUUUUUAGUCGCCAUCCUAUUCUUGCUAUUUGACCUGGAAAUCGCCCUCCUCCUCCCCCUUCCAUGAGGUAAUCAACUACUAAGCCCCACCUACACCCUUCUAUGGGCUACAACUAUUUUAAUCCUCCUCACCCUAGGCCUAGUUUAUGAGUGAGUACAGGGUGGCCUAGAGUGGGCCGAAUAGGGGACUAGUCCAAAUUAAGACCUCUGAUUUCGACUCAGAAAACCGCGGUUUAAUUCCGCGGUCCCCUUAUGACACCAGUUUACUUCAGCUUCACCUCCGCAUUUACACUAGGACUUACAGGACUAGCAUUCCACCGCACCCACCUGCUUUCAGCCCUACUAUGUUUAGAAGGCAUGAUACUAUCUUUAUUUAUUGCCCUGGCCCUAUGAAUACUACAACUAGAGUCUACUGCCUUCUCCGCCGCCCCUAUCUUACUAUUAGCUUUUUCAGCCUGUGAAGCAGGCGCAGGUCUAGCCCUUCUAGUUGCCACAGCCCGAACUCAUGGAACAGAUCGGCUACAAUCCUUAAACCUACUACAAUGCUAAAAAUUCUAGUUCCAACAAUCAUGUUAUUUCCAACAAUUUGACUCUCCCCCCCCAAAUGAGUUUGAACCACCACAGCCCUUCAAAGCCUAAUUAUUGCCCUAAUCAGCCUUAGCUGAAUUAAUUGGUCCUCAGAGACAGGCUGAACUUCCUCUAACUUAUAUAUAGGUACAGACCCUUUAUCAACCCCCCUUUUAGUCCUCACCUGCUGACUGCUCCCCCUCAUAAUUCUCGCUAGCCAAAACCACAUUAAAGCUGAACCCAUUGCCCGUCAACGAAACUACAUUACCCUGUUGGCCUCCCUACAAACCUUUCUAAUCAUGGCAUUUGGAGCAACCGAAAUCAUUAUAUUCUACAUUAUAUUUGAAGCAACCCUAAUCCCCACCCUUAUUAUUAUCACCCGCUGGGGGAACCAAGCUGAACGACUGAGCGCAGGAACAUACUUCUUGUUCUAUACCCUGGCCGGCUCUCUCCCCCUGUUAGUUGCUCUACUCCUGCUACACCAAGGCACAGGAACCCUUUCAAUACUUAUUAUUCAAUACUCACACCCAAUAACCCUUGGCUCCUGAGGAGACAAGAUUUGAUGAGCAGGCUGUCUAAUUGCCUUCUUAGUAAAAAUACCCCUAUAUGGGGUUCACCUCUGGCUACCAAAAGCCCACGUAGAAGCCCCAGUAGCCGGAUCCAUAGUACUGGCAGCAAUUUUACUAAAACUUGGAGGCUACGGCAUAAUACGAAUAAUAAUUAUACUAGACCCCCUGUCCAAAGAGAUAUUAUACCCUAUCAUUGCACUAGCCCUGUGAGGCGUACUAAUAACAGGCUCUAUCUGCUUACGACAAACAGACUUAAAAUCACUAAUUGCCUACUCAUCCGUCAGCCACAUAGGCCUUGUUGCAGGCGGAAUUUUGAUCCAAACCCCAUGAGGCUUUACCGGGGCCCUCGUAUUAAUAAUUGCCCACGGACUAGUGUCAUCUGCCCUAUUCUGCUUAGCCAAUACCACCUAUGAGCGCACCCAUAGCCGAACAAUAAUCUUAGCCCGAGGAAUGCAAAUUAUAUUUCCACUAACAGCUGUUUGAUGGUUUCUCUCUAACCUAGCAAACCUAGCCCUCCCCCCUCUACCAAAUCUAAUAGGAGAACUUGUAAUUAUUACCGCACUAUUUAAUUGGUCACCCUGAACCCUAAUCUUGACAGGAGCCGGCACACUAAUUACCGCGGCCUACUCACUAUAUUUAUUCUUAAUGUCCCAACGAGGCCCCCUCCCACAACAUAUUAUUAAUCUACAACCUUUCCAUACACGAGAACAUCUACUAAUAGUUCUCCACCUCCUUCCAGUUGCUCUCCUUAUCACAAAGCCUGAAAUCAUGUGAGGUUGAUGGUACUGUAGAUAUAGUUUAAUACAAAACAUUAGAUUGUGGUUCUAAAAAUGGAAGUUAAAUCCUUCCUAUCCACCGAAAGAGGCCCGGGGCAAUAGAGACUGCUAAUCCCUACCACCACGGUUAAAUUCCGUGGCUCAUUCAAAGCUCCUAAAGGAUAAUAGUUCAUCCGUUGGUCUUAGGAACCAAAAACUCUUGGUGCAACUCCAAGUAGCAGCUAUGGCAGAUAUUAUAACCACCACCCUUCUUCUCACCCUAGCAAUCCUAAUGUGGCCUCUCAUAACAACACUAAAUCCAACCCCCCUAAACCAAAAAUGGGCCCUAAAAUACGUCAAAGCCGCUGUAAGCACUGCAUUCUUUAUCAAUACUAUUCCCCUUAUUAUUUUUUUAGACCAGGGAACAGAAAGUGUUAUCACCACCUGAAACUGAAUAAAUAUCAUAAACUUUGAUAUUAAUAUUAGCUUUAAAUUUGACCAUUACUCACUAAUCUUCACCCCCAUCGCCCUGUAUGUAACAUGGUCUAUUCUAGAAUUUGCAUCAUGAUAUAUACACUCUGACCCCUACCUAAAUCGGUUCUUUAAAUAUCUACUACUAUUUCUAGUAGCUAUAGUCAUCUUAGUUACUGCCAACAACAUAUUUCAAUUAUUUAUCGGCUGAGAAGGCGUCGGCAUUAUAUCCUUCCUAUUAAUUGGGUGAUGACAUGGCCGAGCCGAUGCUAAUACAGCAGCCCUACAAGCAGUUAUCUACAACCGAGUUGGUGAUGUCGGCCUAGUCCUAACCAUUGCUUGAAUUGCAAUAAACCUCAAUUCCUGAGAAAUUCCACAAAUUUUUCUACUAUCCAAAGACUUUGAUAUAACCCUCCCAUUAAUAGGCCUUAUCUUGGCUGCUACAGGAAAAUCUGCCCAGUUUGGACUACACCCAUGGCUACCCUCAGCGAUAGAAGGCCCAACCCCAGUUUCAGCCCUACUGCAUUCAAGCACAAUAGUAGUUGCAGGCAUCUUUCUACUAAUUCGACUCCACCCUCUAAUACAAGAUAAUCAACUAGCCCUAACCGUCUGCCUCUGCCUCGGCGCUCUAACGACCCUAUUCACCGCAACCUGUGCUCUUACCCAAAACGACAUCAAAAAAAUUGUAGCAUUUUCAACAUCAAGCCAACUAGGCCUCAUAAUAGUUACUAUUGGUCUAAAUCAACCCCAAUUAGCCUUCCUGCACAUUUGCACGCACGCUUUCUUUAAGGCCAUACUAUUCUUAUGCUCAGGCUCAAUUAUUCACAGCCUCAACGACGAACAAGACAUUCGAAAAAUGGGGGGUCUACACAAACUAAUGCCCUUUACCUCCUCCUGUCUUGUUAUCGGUAGCCUUGCAUUAACAGGCACCCCCUUUCUAACAGGUUUCUUCUCAAAAGAUGCAAUUAUUGAAGCCCUCAAUACCUCUCACUUAAACGCCUGGGCCCUAGCCUUAACACUAAUUGCCACCUCUUUCACCGCAGUCUACAGCCUCCGAAUCGUCUUCUUCGUAGUUAUGGGCUCCCCCCGAUUUUCAACUUUAUCCCCAAUCAACGAAAACCACCCCGCAGUAAUCGCAUCUAUUGAGCGCCUAGCCUGAGGAAGCAUCAUUGCAGGACUAAUCAUUACCUCAAACUUCCUUCCAUAUAAAACCCCCGUCAUAACAAUGCCCUUUUCCCUUAAAGUUGCUGCCAUAGCAGUUACGAUCCUGGGGGUUAUUAUUGCCCUGACACUAGCCACAACAGCCUCUAAACAAAUCAAAAUUACCUCUCUCCUGACUCCCCACAACUUCUCCAACAUACUGGGAUUUUUCCCAUCAAUCAUGCAUCGCUCCCUCCCUAAGCUUAACCUUGUACUAGGCAAACAAGCCACAAAACUAGAUCGCCAGUGAAUAGAGAUAGGCCCCAAGGGCCUCCACCCCCUACACUUCACCCUGUCCUCUAUAUUUGAUAGUAUUAAUACUAACAUCAUCAAGAUUUACCUAACCUUUUACCUAAUUUCCACAGCCUUAAUUAUUGUACUAUUCUCCGCGAUCUAAACCGCCCGAAGGGCCCCCCGGCUUAGACCACGAGUUAAUUCCAAAAUUACAAAAAGACACAACAACAAUACUCACGCACACACCACCAACAUCCCUCCGCCAACAGAAUACAUUAAAGAAAUUCCACCAAUAUCCCCCCGUACUAUAAAAAAUUCUUUAAACUCAUCAACAACUCAGUACCCCCCAUGCCCGCCCCAAAACCACCACACUGCCGCCCCCACCCCAAACAAAUACAUCAAAACAUAAACUUUUACCGACCCUGCUCCCCACGUCUCAGGAAAAGGCUCAGCGGCCAAGGCCGCUGAAUAUGCAAACACCACUAACAUUCCCCCCAAAUAAAUUAAAAACAAUAUUAAACCAACUAACGACCCACCAUGCCCCACUAAAACCCCGCACCCGACCCCUCCCGCCAUAGCUAGCCCCAACGCAGCAAAAUACGGCGCCGGAUUAGAAGCAACCCCCACCAACCCCACCACUAAACUUAACAAAAACAAAUCAAGAAAAUAUGUCAUAAUUCUCACCCGGGCUCUAACCAGGACUAAUGACUUGAAAACCCACCGUUGUUAUUCAACUAUGAGAACCAUGAUCACCCGAAAAACUCACCCGCUCCUCAAAAUUGCCAACAAUGCACUAAUUGAUCUGCCCGCCCCAUCCAAUAUCUCCGCAUGAUGAAACUUCGGCUCUCUAUUAUUAUUAUGUCUUAUAGCACAAAUCUUAACAGGACUCUUUCUAGCCAUACACUACACCUCAGACAUUUCAACUGCCUUUUCAUCCGUCGCCCACAUUUGCCGAGAUGUAAACUACGGAUGGCUUAUCCGCAACCUCCACGCUAACGGGGCCUCCUUCUUCUUUAUCUGUAUUUACCUGCACAUUGGGCGAGGCCUAUAUUAUGGCUCCUACCUUUAUAAAGAAACUUGAAAUAUUGGAGUGGUCCUUCUACUACUAGUAAUAAUAACCGCAUUCGUGGGCUAUGUACUACCAUGAGGACAAAUAUCAUUCUGAGGUGCCACAGUCAUUACAAACCUCCUAUCAGCUGUUCCCUACAUAGGAAAUGCCCUUGUACAAUGAAUCUGAGGCGGAUUUUCCGUAGAUAAUGCAACGCUAACCCGAUUCUUUGCAUUCCACUUCCUACUGCCAUUCGCAAUCAUCGCAGCAACGUUACUGCACGCCCUAUUUCUACAUGAAACAGGCUCCAACAACCCAGUCGGACUAAAUUCUGACGCAGACAAAAUCUCCUUCCACCCAUACUUUUCCUACAAAGACCUCCUAGGCUUUGUUUUCCUCAUUACAGCCCUCGCCUCCCUAGCUCUUUUUUCUCCCAAUCUCUUGGGUGACCCAGAAAAUUUCACUCCCGCCAACCCCCUAGUAACCCCACCUCACAUCAAGCCCGAGUGAUAUUUUUUAUUUGCUUACGCCAUCCUACGAUCAAUCCCCAACAAACUUGGUGGGGUGCUAGCACUACUACUCUCUAUCUUAGUACUCAUAGUUGUUCCCCUCCUCCACACUUCUAAACAACAAGGGCUCGCCUUCCGCCCUCUCUCCCAACUAUUAUUUUGAGCCCUGGUAGCAGAUGUAGCUAUCCUGACCUGAAUCGGCGGAAUGCCCGUCGAACACCCCUUCAUCAUCAUCGGGCAAAUCGCCUCCGUACUGUAUUUCUCCCUAUUUCUAAUCUUUAACCCACUAAUAGGCUGAUUAGAAAACAAAACCAUUAACUUCAAAUGCUCUAGUAGCUUAAUCAUAAAGCGCCGGUCUUGUAACCCGGAGACUGAAGGUUUAAUUCCCUCCUAGUGCCAGAAAAAAGAGAUUUCAACUCUCACCCCUAACUCCCAAAGCUAGAAUUCUUAAUUAAACUAUUUUCUGU